AGAGAUGCCUCUUGGGUCCAGCCUCCCAAGGGCACCAAGUAGGGUGAAGGACUCAUCUGAAGGGUCGGACAGAACACCCCGUGUACCCACCGAGCCUUGAUUUCUCCACCUGUAAAGUGGUCAUAGUAAUACCUCCCUCAGAGAGUGGGUGUGAGAAUUUAUUAAGAUCACGUGUGCCUGACACAGAACACACCCUCAUCAAAUGUAACUUUAUUAGGAUGAUGUUAUUACUGUCAAUGUUAUGAUUCUGCCUCUGUCGCUGAAUCAUCACUCGGGUUUGGAGAAAUCUUUCCUCCUCUCUCUCCUCCCGCUCCCCGACCAGGUCAGGUCCGCUGUUACACUGGGGAAUGACACACGUGGCUCUGAUGCAGACCGCUCUGGUUUGUAUCCAAGCACAGCCACACAGCCGUGGAUGCACUGGCUACUUGCUUGCUAUGGCAGCAGAGUUGAGGUUGAGACAGAGACCCUGAGGUCUGCAAACCUAAAACAUCCACUACCUGCCGGUUUCCAGAGCCUGCUGACCUUGAGUUACACCCUCUUGCAGCUCUCCGUGCUUCAGGGUUCUUCCCUUGUGGAAACUAGACAGCUUUCUGUGCUUCCCUGUCCCGUGUCUGCCUUCCCCAGGCCUGGAAUUCCCAAAGCCCCGCAUGUGGGGUGCUUGAUCUCUGGGCUCCCAGCUGGGCCUGUGGGCACCUGGUUCUCCGGCUGCCUGCUGACUCCACACUCCUCCCAGCAAAGUGCUGAGGCCAGCAGACCUCAGUACCCAGGCGCAUCUGCCACUGACUUUCCACAGCUGCGGCUCCAGCCUCGAAGCAGGGUAUUAAGGUUUUCAUGUACCAUCAGAGGGCCCAGAAGUGUCUGGAAGGCUUUAGAUGCACUCAGGGAUCCCGGCUUCCCAGCCUCGGCUUCCAGACAGCAGAGGGGACCUGCGGGGUCCCUUGCAGGCAGGACAAAGGGCAGCUCCAGGGAGGUCUUCCAUGUCUGGCAAUUAGAUGGGGCUGCAUGGCAAGAGCCCGACCAGACCAGGGACAGGAAUGUGCCUCUUGCAGUCCCAAGAAUGGGAGGAACGCAGCCUCCCUCAGCUCCUCAGGAGGGGGCUGGGGCUACAGUCCCAGGCUCUUUCCAGCCAGCAAGCACCCCACACCUGCUGAGGAAAGGCCCCAGGAGAGUCUGUUCACUGGAGGCUUCACAUGCCAGGGGCCGACUGUGAGCCAGGCCCCCUGAGGAGCCUGGAGAAGACCUGCCC
rnacentral:lncRNA from 1 species